GGUCAUAGGUCAGUGGUGGAGCAUCUGCUUUGCAUGCAGAAGGUCUCAGGUUCAAUCCUUGACAGCAUCU
rnacentral:tRNA from 1 species